GCUGGGUGUAGUGGUGGGUACCUGUAAUCCCAGCUACUCAGGAGGCUGAGGCAGGAGAAUUGCUUGAACCUGGGAGGCAGAGGUUGCAGUGAGCCAAAAUCAUGCCACUGCACUCCAGCCUGGGUGACAGAAUGAAACUCCACCUACAAACGANNNNNNNNNNUCGUUUGUAGGUGGAGUUUCAUUCUGUCACCCAGGCUGGAGUGCAGUGGCAUGAUUUUGGCUCACUGCAACCUCUGCCUCCCAGGUUCAAGCAAUUCUCCUGCCUCAG
rfam:Chlorocebus sabaeus isolate 1994-021 chromosome 3, whole genome shotgun sequence.